rnacentral:misc_RNA from 1 species
AACGCACAUUGCGCCCUUUGGUAUUCCGAAGGGCAUGCCUGUUCGAGCGUCAUUUAAACCCUCAAGCUCUGCUUGGUCUUGGGUGCAGGUUUGUCAAAAUCCGCCCGUAACUCGUUGGUGGUCGGUACCGGCUCUAAGCGUAGCAAAAUCUUUCGCUUCCGAGACGGUGUCUUCCUGCCAGGAAAUCACCCUUUUUAAAAAAGUUUGACCUCGGAUCAGGUAGGGAUACCCGCUGAACUUAA